UACGGGGGGAGCAAGCGUUGUUCGGAUUUACUGGGCGUAAAGGGCGCGUAGGCGGCCACCGCAAGUCGACUGUGAAAUCUCCGGGCUUAACUCGGGAACUGCCGUGGAUACUAUCGAUCUUGAAUGCUGUGGAGGUAAGCGGAAUAUGUCAUGUAGCGGUGAAAUGCUUAGAUAUGACAUAGAACACCAAUAGCGAAGGCAGCUUGCUACACAGUAAUUGACACUCAGGCACGAAAGCGUGGGGAGCAAACAGG
rnacentral:rRNA from 1 species